rnacentral:tRNA from 1 species
GCGGCUGUGGUGAAAUUGGUAGACACGCCAGAUUUAGGUUCUGGUGCCGAGAGGCGUGGGGGUUCAAGUCCCUCCAGCCGCACCA